AAACAUCAAUAUAUGGUUGCUUCUCAUGUGUUCCCCACUGGGAGCCUAGCCGACAAUCCACACAUGUGCCCUGACUAAGAAUCAAAUUGGUGACCCUUUGGUUUGCAGG